rnacentral:rRNA from 1 species
AAUAUUCCGCAAUGGACGAAAGUCUGACGGAGCAAUGCCACGUGAGUGAAGAAGGUUUUCGGAUCGUUAAACUCAGUUGUUAGCGAAGAACAAGGACGAGCGUACCUACUCUACCUCGGACGGCACCUAACCAGAAAGCCUUGGCUAACUACGUGCACGCAGCCGCGGUAAUACGUAGAUGGCAAGCGUUGUCCGGAUUUAUUGGGCGUAAAGCGAGCGCAGGCGGUUCGUUAAGUCUGAUGUGAAAGCCCCCAGCUCAACUGGGGAAGGUCAUUGGAAACUGGGGAACUUGAGUGCAGAAGAGGAGAGUGGAAUUCCACGUGUAGCGGUGAAAUGCGUAGAUAUGUGGAGGAACACCAGUGGCGAAGGCGACUCUCUGGUCUGUAACUGACGCUGAGGCUCGAAAGCGUGGGGAGCAAACA